AGUGAACGCUGGCGGUAGGCCUAACACAUGCAAGUCGAACGGCAGCACAGUAAGAGCUUGCUCUUACGGGUGGCGAGUGGCGGACGGGUGAGGAAUACAUCGGAAUCUACUUUUUCGUGGGGGAUAACGUAGGGAAACUUACGCUAAUACCGCAUACGACCUAUGGGUGAAAGCAGGGGAUCUUCGGACCUUGCGCGAUUGAAUGAGCCGAUGUCGGAUUAGCUAGUUGGCGGGGUAAAGGCCCACCAAGGCGACGAUCCGUAGCUGGUCUGAGAGGAUGAUCAGCCACACUGGAACUGAGACACGGUCCAGACCCCUACGGGAGGCAGCAGUGGGGAAUAUUGGACAAUGGGCGCAAGCCUGAUCCAGCCAUACCGCGUGGGUGAAGAAGGCCUUCGGGUUGUAAAGCCCUUUUGUUGGGAAAGAAAAGCAGCAGGUUAAUACCCCGCUGUUCUGACGGUACCCAAAGAAUAAGCACCGGCUAACUUCGU
rnacentral:rRNA from 1 species